rnacentral:lncRNA from 1 species
GAGAGUGGACAUGAGAUGGGGAGGGAGGCCAUUGGUGGUAUGGUAGUGAGGUGGGAGUUCAGGCAAGUCAUCAUGUGGAAGAUGGAGUUCCACAAAUUCAAUGCAAUGAGAAUAUUUUUGGGAGAGUUUAGGCUUGAUGGAGCUGAGAUUUACAGGCGUGGAACAAAUAAAGAUGUGAAAAUUUCUCUUGGUGGUCAGCUUCUUGGCUAGCUCUAGGUAGGGAGAUAUAUGGCCGUGAGCUAGCCAUGGAAGCAUAAGAAUAGUAAGUUUUCUUUGGUCAGAGUAAACCAUAUUUUGUUUUCCUUUCACUCUUUUGCUUGAGGUUGCUCGAUUAUAGGCUUAUUGGUAGUUUUUUUGUAGCUAGCUCUAUGCAUAUAUAUAUAUAUAUACACACACAUUCAUGGGAAAAGAGGCUUGGGGAUGGGAAAUCAAUUGAUUUCCUAUGUUUGGUAAAGUUCGGGUAUGAGAAAUCGUUGCUUUGCACAUGAGAAAGUAGAGGGGAAAGUGAAGCCCUCCUCCUUCCUUAGGUUUUGUUUUCCUCCUCAUGGGAAAGUUUGGGAAAAUGAGCUAAUAUUAAAUACAUAUUUUUCAUGACCAUAUUAUCCCCAUUAAUAAUUUAGAAUUACAUAAAUGCAUUCUAUUUUUAUUUGAUUUCAUAUGGGUAUAAUUGAAAAAUUAAACAAAUUUUGUUUUACAUUCCUACACAAACCAAACAUGUGAAAGGAAAUAAAGUGGUAUUUCUUGGUUACUUUCCCAAGAUUACCAAACAUAGGAAAGGAAUCUCUAUUUCCCAUCCCUUAGAAAAUGACUUGGAAAGUAAUUUCUCCUCAAAUUCGUUCCGUGAACCAAACGGAACCUGCAUAAUAGAAGUUCCAAAAAAACACGUGAUGAUUGGAUCAUGCAUAUGUAAGUUCCCGAGUGAUGAUUGGAACAAGUUCCUAAUGAUAAAGACUCGAAACAAGAAUAGUUUAAACUUUCUUCUUUGUUUGGCUUGAUAUAAGACGAAUGCACCAAACAAACCGACUAAUUGCUGGCACAAUAUAAAUUGGGGCUACAAUUACCUAAUAAUUAGGUACUAAGGGCUACAAUUACCUAAUAAUAUCAACUUUCAUUAUACAGAUUUGAGAAACAAAAAGUUCAACUUUGAUGACAAGCGAUAUUAAAGGAGGGCGUAAUCAAACUUAGGAUCUUGAGUGUAGAAAUAAAUACUUUUAACAACUUGAGCUACAAGCCUUUUGUAAUAUUAAUGAUAUUUUAAUUAUACGUUUGAAUAGUUCGCUUCCUUCUCUUUUAUUUUCAUUUGUUUAUAUUUAACUCUAAUUUUAUUUAUAUUUUUGGUCAAGGUAAAAAGACUUUGAAUCUCUCUCCAAUGAUUUUCACAGCCGAAACUCCUUUAGUUUCCACAAAUAUUUUUUAAUAUUUCAUGCAUUUGUAAGUUUCCGACUCGGAUGGUUCAUGUAACCAAGAAGUUUAAACUUGUUUUUGCUUGUUCCGCCGACGAAAGCGCAACAAAAGGACAAACUACAACCAAUACUUCUAGUAUCACCAGUUCUCAUUGAAUUUGUUGCCGUGAAUGUUUAGGAUUCUGCCCAAACUAGUAUUUGCGUUUCUGAAUUGUUUGAAAACACAUAUGAAAUUAUGAUUUCUCCUCCCCAGAAGACAAAUUGACGAAGAAGUAUCAUGAUUUUGAUGACACAAAUUAGAAUCCAGGGUUUUCGAAGUGCCUAAUGGACAACUAUUAAUUUAGAAAUAUAUAUAUUUUUUUCGCAAUGCAGAAACACAUAAAUCCCAAGUUUGAAUUCAUCCUAUUUUUGUUUUUGUUUUUUCCUUUUUUAACCCAGAAGAAAAAUUGAGUGCCACUCUGCUAUGUAGAAUGCAAGUUUUAGUUUAGAUUUUUUUUUCUUUUUAGUCUCUUAUUCUACAUUUAGAUCUCAUAUAUUUACUCGCAUUUUAUUAAAUCUAAGUCAUUCAAACAAUCUGACCACUUAACAAAUUACAAGUACUCAAACUUAAAAUCAGAUUGGAUGGACAUGAGGCUUACACUGAUGAUUCUACACGUGCUGAGAAUAGUCCUUUUAUUUCUUUAUUAUUUUCUUGGUCGGGACUCGAGAGACAGGUGUAGUGUAGCGAUGGAGACGAGGCCCGCAAGACAUAAAAGUCUGAAGAAGAGAAGCGUGAAAGCUUCAUUUAGACAGUUAAGUGCAUACGUAACGUAAAGAUUCAAAGACUAUGUCCCUCUCCAAACAGGGAAAGAUCUGAGUUGAAAGCAACAAACUACAGUCACAAUAGGAAAGCAUCUACAACGUAAAGAAAAUAAGUUUACCAGAAGCAUCGGAAAGAUCUAGAGUCUGAAGAAGAGAUACUGAAGUAAUUGUUCAUCGACUGAGCUUAAAUGAAAUAUUAACUCUUUGUUGUGCCAUAAGCACAAGAUCUUAAGAAAAAAAUUCAAGAUAAACCAUAUAAUAUUUUCUAACCCACAAAAUAAUAUAGAAAAUAAAUGCAAGAACAAGAGAAUAGCAAGACACAACGAGGCUGCUUACAAUCAGUGUAAAUGAGCAAACAAAUUCACCAUCAACAAAUUAGCAUGCUUAUGAAGUGUUUUGCAACCUCACAAACCAAGGCGCCAUAUACACCAAAUGACUCUCACUGAAAAACUAAACAAAGAAACACACUCACACUAAUGAAAGCAACGUUACAAGGUAGGAGAUUGAAUAUUACAUUUACAAUACACUCAUAAGUUACAAAAACUAAUUACAAAUAUUUAGCGCAUAGGUUACAUAGAACUGAAAGGGUGGAAUGAUAAGAGCUAUGGUGGUCAUCCACCAACUCAUGCAUUUACAACACCGCCUCUUGAAUGUCCACCAUACAAUACAAUGAUAUAGUUGCGUCAUUAAACACUUUGCUUGAAAAACUAUAUGGGACAAAACUUAGGCUACGGGAAAAAGAGUGCAACACAAAUAAUAUUGAUAUCACAUUUGUCUCUCCUACGGAAUGAGCUUUGGUGAUGUUUGUAUAAAAAUUGCGUACAAACCAUUAUUGGAAGAUUGGGCUAGAGUGGGCUUUACCCUAGUGUUGACUUUGGAAAGAGACAAAUUAGGCUUAGUUGUGUAAAUUCAAUCCAAAAAAAAAUUAAAUAAUAGCCCACAUCUACAGCCAAAUACUUUAAUACUUUAAUUACUAAAGUUUUUUUUUCUUUCUCUCUCUUCUUUGGUUUAUUCAGCUUUUGAUUUGGCUCAAAUAAUGUUUAUAUCUCUCUUUGAUUUUGUUUUUUCAAAUUUAUUGAUGUUGCUUCUUUUGAAAAUUUUGAAAUAUGGACCCUCCCUAACUAAACCACUCCAUUGAGCAAAAGCCCUUGAGCUUCAAAUUUAUCUUCGUCUGAGCCUCUGAAUUUUGGUUUUUUUUAGGUUUUUUUUGUUUGUUGUAGGUUUCUUUGUUCACAUAUCUCUCUAAAAAUAGUAUUUUUCUUAAUGAAUUCUGAAAAUAGUUUUUAAUUUGAAGGAAAUAUACGGAAUUAGUAAAAAAGUAUACCACUUUCAUUAAUCUGAAGGAAAUAUUGCUUUAUAUAUAUUUGUUUAAAAAUAGGGCUUAUAAUUGAUCUCAAAAAAAAAAAAAAAACAAAUAGCCCACCCCUGUAAAUAUUCCUUAGUCCGCCAUUGCAUGGCAUAAUAUUUGGUAUGCUAUGCUAGCAUCUCAUAAGCUCUUCAAGAGACCUGAAUUUUAUGAUAACUUCUUAAAAAAUUUGAAUACAUUUCAACGAUAUUAAACUUGAAUUUGAACUCAUAAUUCAAUCAAAGUACUCAUUGAGGCAAUUUAGAUCAUUUUCAUUUUAAAAAAAUUGGGUGCACACAUUGAGCUUCAUGCUCUUUACCUUCUUAGAGAUUUUAUUUGAGGAAUUUAUAUUGCAUCACAUAUUACAUCUCUUAGGAUUUGUUCUUAUUAUGUAUUCUUUAAGAGAUCUAUUCUUGCAAUAUGCUUCAAACACUUCAUAAUCUUUAUGAAUUUUUCAUGUAGAUUUAAGGUCUCCAUGAAUAUUGAGAUUGAAACAAGGAGUAAAAGAGUUAAAAGUUUAAGAAAUUUUUUCCCUGAUUAUUUUGUAAUUAUAAUGUUGGUGAAAAUCCAAUUUCCUUUCUAGAAUUUGUGAAAUUUGUUAUUUGGCUAAGCUAAAAGUAUAAUUUUGACAAUAAAAAGCAUAUGAAAGUUUCUCUUUGGUUGGCUUCUUGGCUAGCUCUAGGAACGGACAGUGUGGCCAUGAGAUAACCAUGGAAGUAUAAUAAGAAUGCUUGGAUGCUGUGAACAAUCCAUUUUCUGACUCUUUUUCUUGAGGUGGUUGUUUUCUUAUGGCCCAUCAGAGUUUAUGGUCGACAGAUAAGCUUCAAACACAUGCAUUGGUCGUGUCAGUUGCGAUAAACUCUUCCCAACAAUCAACAAUUUCUAAGGUAAUAUCAUCAUUCAAUCAUGUGCUGAAUUUAGAAUUGUUUUCAAAUCAAGGAUUUGUUUUGGAACUCAGAUUUUAAAACAAUUAAAAUUUAAUUGGGAAGACUUUUUGUUUAAAGGAAGUUCGUUUCAAUUCAAAAAAUAAUUUUUCAGUUUUUCAACUCAAAAGUCUUCUCAGUUUUCUUAUUUUUCUUAUUGGCGAGUUUCUUGGUUAACUCUAGGAAGGGAGAUAUGUGGCCAUGAGCUAACCAUGGAAGCAUAAGAACGCUGACCAUGCUUGGAUUUUGAGAAGACUUCCUCUUUUUUUUUUCCCUGACUCUUCUUCUUGAGGCGGUGGUUGGCUUAUGGCCUCAUAAUAGUUUGGUGUUUUUGGAGAUCAUAUGGUGAUGAUCUGAUGGAGAUGAGUCAUAGUUUGUGCUAGUGCAUACGUAAUUCCAAUUUCCUGAUUCAGAUGGGAUAAACUCUUCCAACAAAUUAAGACUCUUAUCAUGCAUACACAUAAGAAGUGGAAAUUUGCUUCUGUCUUAGUUUGGCCUUGAUAUAGGACAGCUCAUAGGAAAGCAUCCAAAACAAUAUUCUUUUUAUUUUUUUUAUUUGAAUACAAGCGAUAUUAGGAGUGUGGGGAUUUGAACACAUGAUUUAGGGUACAGGGUAAUGCUCUUAACUAUAUGAGUUACAAGUCCCUUGCAAACAGUCUGAAAUACUAAAAAUAAAAAAUAGAUGCUCAUCCAUAUGCACUGUCAUGCCCCAACCCUUGGAUUUACAAAACCUUGUGUUAAGACGUGAUUCACACCUUAAUUAUAGAAUUUAAUAAAAACUAUAACUAAAAUGUGAAGAAAACAUUUAAAUAAAUAAAAUAAAUAUUUCACAUAGAAUAUUCAGUGGAAAUGACAACAUGUGAAAUCUUAAAAAUUUUACAUUAUCUUACAAGUUGGCGUGACUUGUGGAUAUUGACUUACUUUCCUUACACACCAAGAAUUCCUAUUAUAAUUGUAAUUGAUUUACUUUAAUUCAUGAUUUCCUACUGUAAAUAGAUUUAAGAAUUUAUUAUUUACUUGCCCAUUCAGGUUUCGUUGUAUUAUAAAUAUGACCUCCUACAAGGAGAAGAACAUACAGAAAAUUCCCACAAACAAAUAUUCUCUCAUAGUUUUCAUAUUUUAGCAUGGUAUCAGAGCGGCAAUCUUGGAAUUGCUGACUCUAGUUUCAAACCCCCGCCGCCGCUAUGGGGGUUGAUGAUUUUUUCAACCAUCAUGGAGGUAGCACCAUCGACUCCUUCUCUCAUUCUCAACUAACCAUCGUUGAGUUGAGUGCCCAGAUGGCUCCGCUCCUACAGAUGCAGACUUUGACCCCAAACCCGAUCCAGAAUCAGGAUCUUCUUUCGACAACCACGACCCCGAUCUCGACUAUGACAACGACGACCCCGACCCCUACUCUGAAGAUGACCCCGACCCCCACUCCGAUGACCCCAACCCCGAAUUUGUCUCUGAUUCAGAACCCGAUCCCGAUUUCGACUCCGACUCCGGCCUCGACUCAGGCUCAGAUUUCGAUCCAAAUUCCUACUCAACUUAUAUCCUAUGCAUCUUCCGCUGCACAGAUUAUGACUUCUAGACUAACGACCCCGACAUAUGGACCAGAUUGCACAUAUUGUGGUGAUCCGAGACACACUUGUGAGACUUGUUUUAAAUCGCAUGGCUACCCCGAUUGGUGGGCUAUUCUUACAGAUCAAGGACAAUGCACCAGUAAUGGUACUGGUUAUGGAUUCCAUACUUCCGAUAAGAUUGAUUCCAGGAGCUGGAUAAUUGAUUCUGGUGCAACUGAUCAUAUGACGUUUGAUCCUGAUGAUUUUCUGAAUACUACACAACCUCGACGAACUUGUAUUGCAAAUGCCAAUGGUGUUACUUAUCCUGUGACAGGGGCUGGCACUGUUGCACUCUCAUCCUCUCUCACACUGUCUAAUACUUUACUUGUUCCAUUUUUAUCCACUAAAUUGUUGUUAGUUAGUCAGCUUACUAAACAAUUGAAGUGUUGUGUACUCAUUUACCUGAGUUUUUGUUUGCUUCAGGAUAUUCACACUAAGGAGAUUCUUGGUCGUGGUACUAAGAGAGGGGGGCUAUAUUAUGUCGAUGACUUCAGUUCCGGCGUGCCUAACAGUGUGACACAUCCCUUUGAUAGCAAACAAAAGCAAAUUUGGUUGUGGCACCUUCGAUUGGGACAUCCGUCUUUCAGUUAUAUGAAGCAUCUUAUACCAGAUUUAUUCUUAGGUUUCAAGGACUCCGACUUCACAUGUGAUACUUGUAUUUUGGCUAACAGUCACCGUGUGCCCUACCUGUUGAGUACGAACAAGUGUACUUGUAAGAUCCCACAUCAACCAACGGAGAGGGGGUGAUGUGCCUUAUAUAUGCACACCUGCAUCCAUCUAGCACGAGGCCUUUUGGGAGCUCACUGGCUUCGGAGUCGUAGGAACUCCGAAGUUAAGCGAGUUGGGGGCUAGAGCAAUCCCAGGAUGGGUGAUCCACUGGGAAGUUGCUCGUGAGCUCCUAGAAACAAAACCGUGAGGGCAGAGAGAGGGGCCCAAAGCGGACAAUAUCGUGCUACGGCGGAGUUGAUCCCGAGAUGUGACAAUUUGGUAUCAGAGCCACUCUGCCGUGUGGUGCGAAUGUGCCGACGAGGACUUCGGGCCCUUAAGGGGGGUGGAUUGUAAGAUCCCACAUCAACCAACGGAGAGGGGGUGAUGUGCCUUAUAUAUGCACACCUGCAUCCAUCUAGCAUGAGACCUUUUGGGAGCUCACUGGCUUCGGAGUUGUAGGAACUCCGACGUUAAGCGAGUUGGGGGCUAGAGCAAUCCCAGGAUGGGUGACCCACUGGGAAGUUGCUCGUGAGUUCCCAGAAACAAAACCGUGAGGGCCAGAGAGGGGGGCCCAAAGCUGAUAAUAUCGUGCUACGGCGGAGCCGAUCCCGGGAUGUGACAAUUGUACUACUCCAUUUACGUUAAUUCACUCUGAUGUCUUGGGACCUUCGCCUAUCACUGCUCCUUCUGGUGUUCGAUGGUUUGUCACAUUCAUCGAUGAUUGUAUACAGAUGACAUGGCUUUAUUUGCUGAAGAAUAAAAACGAAGUGUUUUCCCGUUUUCAGUCCUUCCACAAACAGAUGAAAACUCAGUUUAAUGCUCAAAUCCAGAUUCUUCGCUCAGACAAUGGUGGAGAAUUUGUCAAUCAUGACUUUCAGACUUACUUCCAACAACAUGGAAUUAUCCAUGAGACGACUUGUCCUCAGACACCACAACAAAAUUGUGUUGUUGAACGAAAGAAUUGACAUCUUCUUGAAACCGCCCAAGCACUUCUGAUUGGCGCUCAUGUUCCUCGCUAUCACUGGGAUGAUGCUAUUGUCACCGCAGUUCACCUGAUCAACCGCAUGCCUUCUGGUGUAUUGACCUUUAAAACUCCCUUACAGGUGCUUGCGCAACACAGACCUCUGCUCUCUGUUUUGGUACUCACACCCCGAAUCUUUGGAUGUGUGGCUUUCGUUCAUCUCCACAAAAAUCAACGUAGCAAACUUGAUCCCUGUGCGCUUCGUUGUGUUUUUAUAGGUUAUGCCACUCAUCAGAAAGGCUACCGUUGUUAUCACCCUCCUACCCAACGAACCUAUGUCACUUUGGAUGUGACCUUUCUGGAAUCUGAGUUGUUCUUCCAUGACCCAUCAUCCAAUUCUACGCAUCAGGGGGGGAUACGAAGUGAAGAGCAGAAUUGAAGCAACUUGGGAAAUAAAGAAAUUUUCCUCUGUACAGAAAUGAUUAAUCAUCCUGAGUCUGGAGCACGAGAUUACUCUCUGUCGAAAAGCAACCAAUCGCCCAUUCAUAGCGAUCAAUUGCCUCACCUACCUGAUCCAUGUGAAGAUAUUUUUGAUCCGAGUCUCACACCUACAGACAAUACAGAACAACAAGAUGAAGACUCCCCCUCUAACUCAACAGUACCAACAGACCAAUCUCCUGAGAAUAUCCUUGAGGUAACUACUCCUACUAGAUUUGUGCAUUUAAAUGAUUAAACUAUUGGAUAUCAAUUACCUUUCAGGGAAAAUCGUGGGAAGCCAUCAAACCGUUAUGCACCUGAUAUUGGCAAGACAUCCAAGUAUCCAAUUGCAAAUCAUGUAUCCACUGAGAAGCUGUCUGAACAACUCAAGGCUUUUGUGCAUCAGUUGUCUGCGAUCCAUAUUCCAACCAAGGUCUCUGAAGCAUUAAAAUAUCCUAAGUGGGUCCAAGCUAUAAAAGAGGAGAUGAAAGCUCUUGAGAAAAAUCAGACUUGGACAUUAGAGACUAUACCUCGAGGAAAAAAGACUAUCAGAUGUAGAUGGGUGUUUACUAUAAAACACAAUGUAGAUGGAUCUAUCGAGCAAUACAAGGCAAGACUUGUGGAAAAAGGGUACACACAGACAUAUGGUAUAGACUAUGAAGAAACCUUUGCUCCAGUUGCAAAGUCAAACACCAUCAGAGUCUUAUUGUCCCUUGCAGCUAAUUUGGAUUGGCCACUACACCAGUUUGAUGUAAAGAAUGCUUUUCUACAUGGCGUACUCACGGAGGAGGUGUACAUUUACAUUCCUCCUGGAUAUAAUACUACUUAGACUGGAACAGUUUGCAGGUUACGAAAAGCAUUGUAUGGAUUGAAACAGUCACCACGUGCAUGGUUUGGACAGUUCACCAUGGCAAUGAAGAACAAUGGUUCAAACAGUGCAACUCAGAUCAUACUCUACUCUUGAAACAUCGAAAAGGGAAGGUAACAACAUUAAUAAUCUAUGUUGAUGAUAUGAUUAUUACUGGGAAUGAUAAACAGGAAAUAUCACAGCUACAAGACUAUCUGGCUACGGAGUUUGAGAUGAUGGAUCUAGGUGGACUCAAGUAUUUCUUGGGAAUUGAGGUGGCUCGAUCCCAGCAAGGCAUAUUUCUCUCUCAAAGGAAAUAUGUCUUGGACUUGUUGACAGACACAUGAAUGCUAGAUUGUAAACCUGCGAACACUCAUAUUGUUCAGAAUCAUCAUCUUGGAGAAUAUCAUGAUCAAGUUCCAACUAACAAAGAAAGAUACCAAAGGUUAGUAGGAAGAUUGAUCUAUUUGUCACAUACUUGACCAAACAUUACUUAUGCAAUGAGCGUUGUCAGUCAAUUUAUGCACUCUCCAAGUGAAGACCACACGAAUGCAGUUCUUCGGAUACUUAGAUAUUUGAAGUCUGCACCUGAAAAAGGACUUAUUUUCUGAAAGCAUGGUCAUAUAAAUAUUGAUGGUUAUUCAGAUGUAAUGUAACAGAUAGAAAAUCCACAUCCGGUUACUUAACAUUCAUGGGAGGUAAUUUGGUGACAUGGAGGAGCAAGAAACAGAAUGUAGUAGCUUUAUCCAGUGCAGAAGCCGAGUUCAGAGGCAUGACUAAAGGAAUUUGUGAACUUCUUUGGUUAAGAAAGUUGCUUACUGAACUUGGGUAUAAACCUACAUCCACAAUGAUUCUCUUUUGUGACAACAAGGCUGUUAUAGCCAUUGCACAGAAUCCGGUUCAGCAUGAUCGUACUAAACAUGUUGAGGAGGAUCGACACUUCAUCAAACAGAAGCUUGAGGCUAAAAUGUUUCAGUUUUCUUUUGUGAAAUCCGAGGAUCAAUUGGCGGAUAUUUUGACAAAGGUGAUUUCCAGUAAAACAUUCCACAAUUCACUGGAUCAGUUAGGCAUUGGCGAUAUCUAUGCACCAACGUGAGGGGAAGUGUUGGCGUGACUUGUGGAUAUUGACUUACUUUCCUUACACACCAAGAAUUCCUAUUAUAAUUGUAAUUGAUUUACUUUAAUUCCUGAUUUCCUAUUGUAAAUAGAUUUAGGAAUUUAUUAUUUACUUGCCCAUUCAGGUUUCGUUGUAUUAUAAAUAUGACCUCCUACAAGGAGAAUAACAUACAGAAAAUUCCCACAAACAAAUAUUCUCUUAUAGUUUUCAUAUUUUAGCAAGAACUACUCGAGAGUUUACUAAAAGAGUAGUUCAGUAUUCAUCCACAAGCUAUAUACACAAUACACUCUAUAGAUAUGCCAAAAUCAUCGCAAGCUCUAGAUUUUAGGUUCGAUACCUGCAAAAUCUAUUAGAAGGGUGAGUGAAACCACAGUUUAGUAGGGACAUAAACCUUUUCACGGUAAACUGAUAUAAUUAAAUUAAGUGAAAAAUAAUCACACAGCCAAAUAUCACAUUAUUAAUAACAAUGCAUGAAUGCUCUUCAUUUAACCCGUUAAUUCAUAUAAUUAGACAAGCUUCACGACCCAUACCAUGCUUAUACCACUUAGUCCCGAAUGCCAAUUUAUAUGAAUUAACGCCCAUUUCAAUCAUCCCAUAAUUCCCAUUUUGUUAGUCAUCUUGUCUAACUCCCUGUUGCCAGUCCUGAAUCACCAAAAAAAAAAAACCAUGUGCACUAUGGGAUCCCUGAGUACUAGUACCUGGCAAGAGUUAGACUCAACUACACAAAAGAUCAUUUCUAUUACCCUCUUAUCCACCAUUAUUUUCUCAACUUCAGAAUUCUAGCCAAAUUCCAUGACAUGAUAUAAUUAAAAUUAUGCCUUCACAACAAUGUGCCCAUUUAAAACAUCACUAAUGCACAUAUAAUUAUGCCCACAUUGUUCAAAUAGUUAAGAGUACGUAAAUACCCAAUACAUGGAACGUCAAUCAAACAGUACCACGCAUAAUAUAAUGCUCAAGAAAUUUAAUUAAAUCAAUCUCUGUAAAAGGCCCCUAAGAAACCCCUGCCUUGAUACUAAAGCUUUUGCUAGACCUAUAAGGUGUUUUCCAAUUUUCCACCGCAUUCACAAACUCUGUCUUCUACUUUUUUUCUUACUUCUCUCUACCACUAUUUCUUUCUCGUUUUCUUUGUUUUCACUUGUUGUGCAACUUAAUGUCCUAUAUAUAUACAAGGAACAAGUCGGCAGUAAGUGAUUUCCUAUUGGAUGGUGUAUUCGGUUGUUAUAAACUUACUAGUAAUAGUUAUCAAUGUAGUUGCAGAUGAGGAAGAAUGUUUUUGUGACUCUUCCAAUCCCUCUAAUCCUAUUUCUUAUCUUCUUGGUGAGUUGAUAGCCUCGAUACUUAACAGAUUUUAUACUUUGACACGUAUUAACAAGAACUAUUUUAAAAACAUAUACAUAUAUAUAUAUAUAAUAGAAUAUGUAUAUAUGUAAUACACAUAUUUAUAUAUAAUAAGAAUAAUAUAUAUGUAAUAAGAUAUAAAUAUUUAUUAGAACAGUAUAUAAAAUAAUAUAUAUCAUUCUUAUUAUAACAAUAAUUUUAAUUUUCCCAAAAUAAUAUAUAUUUAAAAAUAUGUGGUUUCACAUGCAUGUCCUUUUUGCUAUAGACACUAUUACAAAAAUCGAAAUAGACAACGGAAAACUACCGUCGUCUGGAAAGUUUUCAAACAGUCGUGAAAUCGACUGUCGUCUCUUUUACAUAAAACAACGACGGCUAUUAACCAACGUCGUUAAUACAUUCCACGUAAAAAACUAUUAUAAACCGACGUGUAAUUACUAUAUAUAUAGCCUAAAAUAAAAUCUUCAACAACCUUAGACGACGGUUUUAUUAAAACUGACACGUCUAAAGAGUGUUACAUGUCAAGAUCAAAACAAGAACCGACGUACAGAUAAUUAUCCACGUCCUAAUUGAAGUAAAAUAGACUUGGAUAACCUAGAAACCGUCGUGGUUAACAUAUACUACGUUAAAUUAACAAAGGCACUUACGUCUAAAAAGUAAAAGACAACACGCGCACAAAGCAACAGACGUUUAAAGCUUAGUACAUGUCAAUAGCCGCUCAAUAACCGCAGUAAAAUGAAUUAACCACGUCCCACAUAUGGCAGAACUGUUGCUUAUGUGAUUAUCCACGUCGCGGAGUAGUAGAACAAAGACGUUGUAACCAUAUUCCACGUCUGUUUCUUGUGAGAAUUGUCGUUUAAAUUAUACAAAGAAGCCCCUUUGACAGAGUUAGACGUUGCUCUUGCUGUAGAACCGACUUCUAACAGGUUUAAAAUGACACAAUAUUACUUAAUACUGCCGUAACAAAUCAUAUCCACGACUGCUGUUGUCAAAGACUGACGUUACAAAAAAUAUUGAAGGUGUUGACAAAAAAGAACCGACAUGGAUUAUGCAUUCAACGUCGUGUGGUCUAAAAAUAAAGGACGUGGUUAAUUUUUUCUCUACGUCAAGUGGAUCCAAUUGCCUGAUGUUGUAAUUCUUUACCAUGUUGGUUUUUAAUACAUGAUGAUGUGGUUGUCCUUUUAAAAGUCGCUUGUUUUACCCUCCUUGACGUGUGUAUGAUAUGAGACGUCAAUUGUUUUAGACUAGCUGACGUGCAGAAAAUCUGUCACGACAAUUAAUGCAACUGAAUUGCCUCUAUUUCCCCCAGACGACGGUAGGUUUUAAGUGUGGAAGUAGUGUUUUACAAAAUCGUAAGUUGGAGUAAUCUACCAUCGUGUUAUUCGAGAAUAUACCACGAUCUUUGUUUUGUACUCGGUCGCUGAUGUUUAUACUACUUAAUAAACUGACAUGUUUUCAGUUUCAGACGGCGGCUUUUGUUUCUUUAUGGUCUUUUGCAUUUUUUUUCCAUGACAUUUUUGAAAGCCUAAUGUUGGUUUUAUUUUAGAAAUCGAUUUUUCCCCUUUUUUUACUGGACCGUCGUACUUUACACAUUUAAUCAAUUUUUUUCAAUUUUUGAUUCAUCGUGCCCAAAGCCUACAUAACGAAAAUGUGAUCAGAAUUAAAAUGAUGUACAAAGGUAUUAAUUAAUGUCAUACAAUUAACUGAAUAACUAAUGUCAUACACUACAACAAUCAAUCAAUCCAUAUAUCUUCACACCCAUCUUUAAUAUUUUCACUCCCAAACUCACCCACUAGGUCAUCAUAUGUGUCAACAUUUGGUAUCCCUCUAGUAAAUGUCUCACACUCAAUUCUAAUAUCACCUAGCACAUCAUCACCAAUAACAUUAUUAUAUUCUCUAUUAUGCAUUGAUAACACUACCGACCAACCACGAUGCAUUGGGUCGUCAGCAUAAAAUACUUGUUUUGGUCAUUCCUAUGUCCAAUUUUACUCAAAUCUACAAAGGUGAAUCCAAGUUCAUCGACAACAAGGCCCAAAGUGUUAUCUAUCCAAUCACACCUCAAGACAAGGAUUCUAAACUUUUGGUAGUCAAGGUCCCAAAUUUCUUGAAUAACACCAUAAAAACCCAUAUUGGAGACAAUAGAGUUUUUAUCCUUAGCACUAGCAACUUGCAUAGUAUGUGCAAGUAAAUAAACUCCACUAUUUUGGACAGUUCGCAUAUCAUCUUGUGCCUUGGUGUUAAAUUUAACACCAUUAAUAAGAUAGCUCCUAUAUGAUGGCAUUGCCAUGCUUGGACUAGCUGCUAGCCACCUCAAAUUUUAUGAUACGCCAUUAUGCUCUUCCCCAUUAAGUUCACUUUGAACUUGCAAAUUAAUCGUAUAUAUCCUAAUUCGAUCUAACAUAUAAAAAGGAAGAAAAUUAAAAGUUGAAUAUGUCAUUCAAUAACAUAUAUACUUGAAAGUGUAGCCAUUGAAUGAAAGUGCUAUUGUGCUUAUCUUGCAGCCACUUUGUUCUCUUUCUAAAUAUUGGAUAAGUGGUCUUGAUGUGGAUCAUAUGUUCCAUACAUUGACACGAAAAAAUCAAGCAUUACGGUCCCUUGUAUAUAAGAUAACAUAAGGAAUAAUAAUAUUUAAAAUGGCUCUAUAUGAAAAAUGGAACUCAUGCGUACUCGAUAUAAGGUAGGACUUCCUCAGUAUUCUCCAAGACAUAUAGAUGUGUCUGGUUCAAAAAACCCGAUCACCUAAGCUUACUGUGCAACCAGAUAAUGGCUUUGAAACUCCCAUCUUCUAGCUUGAAGGCACUCCAACUGUACUAACAUCAGAUAAAUGCUCGGUGCAAAACUCUACAACUUCUUCAGCUAUAUACCGCUCAAUAAUGCAACAUCCGGGACGAGUACGGUUCUGAACAAACCUAUUUAGCACUUUCAUAUGUCUUUCAAAUGGAUACAUCCAUCUAAAAUAUACUGGCCCAUGUAGACGAACUUCUCUGACAAGAUGUACUACUAGAUGAACCAUGAUAUCAAAGAAUGAAGGGGGAAAGUACUUCUCAAGCAAACGCAACGUAACUACUACAUCUUCUUCCAAAUUAUCUAGCUUGGAAACAUCUACUGUCUUUGCACAUAUAGCAUUGAAGAAGAAGCACAAUCGAGUUAUUGCAUACCUUGCAGGCUUCUCCAAACAGAACGAAUUGCCACAGGGAGCAAUUGUUGCAUCAAGGCAUGAAAAUUAUGAGAUUUAAGGCCAAGAAGUCUUGAAUAUUUUUAAGAUACAAGAUUUUUUUAUAUUUGAACAAUAACCUUCAGGGACUUUCAUACCAUAGAAAGAAUUGCAAACCGCUCUCUUAUCUGCUCUUGACAAAUUCUAGGGCCUUGGAGGCAAGCGAGUACGUCUUUCUCAAUACUCGGGUUGCAAAUCAUUUUUGACCCCCAUGUUCAAUAAAUCUAACCGAACAGCAAUCUCAUCUUUAUUUUUUCUAGGGAUCUCCAGCAAUGUACCAAUGAUACUAUCGCAAACAUUCUUCUCAAUAUGCAUAACAUCUUGGACAUGCCUCAUAGGAAGGUAUUUCAAAUACUCGAGAUCAAAGAAUUUUGAUUUCUUAUUCCAACAAACUCUGUCACCAUCAUUCUCAAAAACACUUCCCCCAUUUUUCGAGCCCCAUAUGUAAUUAAUAUCUUCAACCAUGUCCUAUUCAAGUUAAUGGUUCGGGAGGCGUGCCAUAUUCAAGUUUUCCAUUGAAAGCUGCACGCUACCUCCGACAUGGAUGAUUGAUUGGUAACCAUUUUUUAUGACCAAUGUAACAAAUUUUGGGGCCAUUUUCAACCUGUGACUAGGUGUAUCAUCGCCGCAUAUUGGACAAGCUUUAUAUCCUUUAACGACACUGUAACACCCCGACUCUAAAUUAAUCCCUUAUUUAAUUAUUUAAAGAAAAUUACAAAUUUACCCUUAAGAUAGGGGUAUUUUGGUCAUUUUCUUACCCGAAGAGAGUUUGGGGCAGUGACUAGUAUUUUUGGAUAGGUCGUACUGAGACGAGUUCAUAGACACGUAGUGGGCUCGAAUCGAAGUUGUAACGAGAGAGAUAUGGUCAAAAGAAACCCAAUUGCACAAUCAUAAUUAUUUCGAAAUGAGAUUUUUAUAAAAAUCAGAUUUUUUUUUCUCUCUCUCUCUCUCUCCUCGUCGGUCUCUCUCCCUCUCCUCGAAACUCCGGCCAUCGGCCACGGCUGUGGACGGGGCCGGUACCAAAAUGACCGAGGCGUUGUCCUCCUCUAAUCCCAGCUAGGUCCCGCCGUCAGCCGCCAUGGUUUCGCCGGAAAAUGGAGAAGAAGCGGCCGGCGUCGUCCGAAGUUCUCCGCCGUUGAUCUCCCUCUUCCGGUCACCGAUUCCGACGAGUGAGGUAUGGUUUCUCACCUACUUUUCAUGCUCUAGCUGCCUGCUGGGUAUGAUUGGAUUGAUUUUUAGCGUAGGCAAUUCGAUUUUCGCAUUGAAAUUCGGCUAAUUUUGGAAUCACGAUUCCGGCUAGUUCUGGUCAGUUUUUGGGGUAGAUCCAAGAACAAAAGUGGCUCCAAAUAGGGUGUUAUACCUAGGGUAGGAGUUUGGAGCCAUGGUUUUGAGAUUUUCCGGCGAUACGUAAUCGCUUUAGACACCCAACGCUGCCCGCACGUGUGGCAGUGCGUGGGCGAGGGUAGUGAAAUAGCACUAUGUCUCGAUGAGAUCCUUAGGUUGUCACGAGUGCGUAGGAUUUCGCGGAUCUCAAUUCGGACGUCGUUUGACUAUCGAACGGAUUUUCGUAUAUUGCGCGUCAUCCGGGUUCGAUAGGUUGGGACCGUUGGAUGGUCUCGAAUAAAAUAUAUGUUAAUCUAGGUAUUUCUAGGAUCAUGUAGGAAUUCACGGAUUAUAAAUCGGAGCCCCGGAUAUUCCGAAUAAAUAAUUUAAAGUUUAUGUUUUAUAAUAACCGUCACAUCGUGCGAUCGUGAGCGAUCCGACCGGCCGAUCUGGACCAAACUUACAGAACGAGUGUCCUAUACCUUGAAGAACCCAUAGGAAUUUUCAGAUCGAAAUUUGGAGGUCGUGGGCCCCGUGGGCCCAUUUGACUAGGGGUAGGGUAGUUUGACCCUUAGUUGACCGUGAGUCUCCCGGAGUAAUCUCACCUUUCCAGGGGGAUUAUCGGGUGCUAGACUGUUGUUGAGGUUUACACGAUAUUAGUAGUAAAUUAUAUAUUUAUAUACAUUUGUAAAGGUAAAAAAUAAGUCCAGAAUGUCAGUUUGAAGUGCUUUACGCACUACCUUAGGUACCUCCCCGGAUUUUAGUUACACUACAAGUACCACCCUAUGAAAGUUAGGUCCCACGUGGCGUAGGUUAUCCGGCGUGCGGACAGGCCCUAUACGUGGCAUUGGUAGUAUCGGUGUAUGGGGAGAUUACGUGAUAAUAUGUUGAGGUCACACGUGGCGUAGGUUAUCCGGCGUGUUGACAGACCCCAUACGUGGCGUUGGUUGUACCGGCGUAUGAGGAGAUAUUGUGAUAUGAUAUUCAGGUCUCGCGUGGCGUAGGUUAUCCAGCGUUGAGACAGACCCCAUACGUGGCGUUGGUUCUACCGGCGUAUAAGGAGUUUAUGUGAUAUUAUGUUGAAGUCGCGCGUGGCGUAGGUUAUCCGGUGUGUCGACAGACCCCAUACGUGGUGUUGGUUGUACCGGCGUAUGGGGAGAUAUGUGAUAUGAUGUGCAGGUCUCGCGUGGCGUAGGUUAUCCGGCGUUGAGACAGACCCCAUAUGUGGCGUUAGUUGUACCGGCGUAUGGGAAGAUAUUGUGAUAUGAUAUUCAGGUCUCGGGUGGCGUAGGUUAUCCGGCGUGUUGACAGGCCCCAUACGUGGCGUUGGUAGUACCGGUAUAUGGGGAGAUUAUGUGAAAUACAGAGAAAUGAAAUAAGGUAUUGCCUAUGUGUGGAAUUGGGUUUUAAGGAAGAACUACGUGUGGCUUGAUCCCUCAGGGAGGGUACGUAGGCAGCCUAAGGUUAUUAGGUGUAGCCGCGGACAUAGACGUGAUUGUGUUAGGAGGUUAAAACCUCGUAUGUUGAAAUUGAGAAAAUUAGAUGAUGUAUGUUGAAAUUUAGUAGUCGUAAUUUAUAUUUAAAUUUAUCGUUUGCCUUGUUUAAGGCAUGAAUUGAUUUGCUAGCAUGCUUGGUAGUUGAGAAUUAUAGAAAGGCCGAAGGCCGUUUAUGUGAAUUGCAUGGAAUUAUAUUGUGCAUGCUGCCAGUUGUAGUUAUUAAAUGUGUUUUUAUGCAGGUUGAAAUUUUGGGAAAUGUCCAAUUUACAGGGGAGACUCUGCCGAAAUUUCGGCAGAAAGUCUCGGUCUUUAGUAAGUGGGCCUGACAUCGAGGUGAUGUCGGGGAAUCCACAGGAUCCGCCUCGAUUUUUGGAAAAAUCGGGGCGGUUCCUUUCAGACACAACCAGAUAAGUUCUCAUAGGCAGAAAAAUCAUUAAUUGUUCACAGUAAUACACCUAUGAGUGUAAAGUAAUCUCCUAUGUGUGCAUCAUACACUCCUUUAAUCCCAUCCCACAAAGAUUUUAAAUCAUCAAUCAGAGGCUCUAAGUAGACAUCUAUAUCAUUUCCAUUCUAUUUAGGACCAGAAAUCAAUAAGGUCAAUAUCAUGAACUUCCAUUUCAUGCAUAGCCAUGGUGGGAGAUUAUAUGUAACUAAGAUAACCAACAAUUGUAUCUGCUACUUAAAGAACUGUGGGGAUUGAAUCCAUCAGAUGAGAGAGCCAAUCUCAAGUUUCUUGGCUCUUUACUGAACUCGGGCCAUUUAUCAUCAACAAGUUUUUAAGACGGGAAAUUCGCUGGAUGAGACAUAUGACCGUCAAUUGCUUUUCUAGCAACAUGCCAAGUCAAACUCUUAGCUGUCAUAUGUGAUUGAAACAUCCUUUUAAACCUUGGAAUUGGAGGAAAAUACCACACCACCUUCGCUGGCACACUCUUUUUCAAGAUUGAAUCUUUGCAUUCCUUCCACCUUGAGAUACCACAAGUAGGACAAUUAGUUGAAUCUUCAUAAUCAUUCCUAUACAAGAUGCAGUCAUUGGGACAUGCAUGGAUAUUCUCAUAACUCAUCCCUAAAGGAGAUAAUGUCUUUUUUGCCUCGUACAUAGAGGAAUAUAGUGUCUUUCCUUCUGGAAGCAAAUCUCCUUGAAGUAUCAAUAAUUCUAUAAAACAAACAUCACUCAUCCCAUGUUUUGCUUUCAAAUUAUAUAACUUCACCAAAGCCGACAACAUCGUGUACUUACUGCAACCAGGGUACAAGGAUUGAUCUCAAUCCCCAAUCACAUUGGCAAACUCAUAAGGAUCAAAUCCAAUAUCGCCUAAAUCAUUAUCAUCCAUCCCUACUUCUUUAGAAACAAAACUGAACCUACUUUGCUCAUCUUCUUCCACAUUUCUACUAGCAUUAGUAGUCAAUUCCCAAGGUUCUCCGUGCCAUGUGCAAAUCUGAUAGCUUUAGUCAAUUCCAUUAAAGUAUAAGUGGUCCCUCAUAAUUCCAACCCCAAACAAUCGAAUAUUCCCACAUUUAACACAUGGACAACGAAUAUGAGUUGUAUUUCCAAGAUUUUCUACAGCAAAAUUCAAAAAUCCUUCCACCCCUAACUCAUAUGCCUUCGGUCUUCUAUCCGCAUGCAUCCAUGACUUAUCCAUCUCACACACUAUAAAAUCAUAUAUAUAAUAAAGUGAAAAGACCAGCAAUGAAACACUACUUUAUUCACAUAGCAAAGAAUGAAUUGAAAAAAAAAAUUAACCAAGAAUCAGACGACGGUUUUUACAAAAAAAAUCGUCCUGUAACAGAGGGUCAGACGACGGCAUAUCUAGUUAUCGACGUCUUUAAGCUACCCAAACCCAGAUAUUUGUAUUGCUUUUUGAAGAACCGGGUUCUGGGUUCUGGUAAACAAAAGAUGACGGUAAAUGGAGAAACACCGACGUAUCCUAAAACUUGAGACGACGGUUUAUUUCACCAACCGUCGUCGUAGUUUACGAAAAACAGAAGUCUAAAUCUCCCAUCCUCAUUCCUUUUCUAAGAACCCUUAACAAAAUGCAAACAUCAAAAUAUAAAAGAGCCAUAUAUAGCUCCCAAUUAAGAAACCAAAGCUACCAAAACAUAUAUUAAUAAACCAAAGCUACCAAAAUGAACGAAAACAUUUAUGGGUUUUACAAACUAAGAGAAUAUUGAGAGAGAGCUGAGAGAAUAUACUUACAUGGAUAUUGAGAGAGAGCUGAGAGAAUAUAACAAAUGCUUGAGAGAGAGCUUAGAGAAUAUACACAAUGCUUUGAGAGAGAGCGAAAAAUUUAAGACAAAUUUAUGUUGAAGAGAGAGAAGGAAAUAUUUUAGGGUUAAAGGGAAAUUCUGAAAAUUUUAGAUCACCGUCAAAAUUUUCAAAGGACCGCGUUUUUCAAAGACGGCUAAGGAAAACUACCGCCAUUGUAAAUCAUUUUACUACGACGGUUGAGGAAAACUACCGCCAUUGUAAAUCAUUUUUAUGUCGCCUCUAUAAAAACCGACGUCUAAAAUAUUAAAUAAUUAGAUUUGGUUUGCAUUUCGUGGGAUUCUAACGUGCGUAAUUGACCAAAAAGAGCGAGAGAAAACCAGCGUCGUUUCUAUAAAACCUAAACCCUAAACCCUAAACCCUAAACUCUAAAACCUAAACACUGAAAAAAUUAACCAAAAAUUGCUAUGGACUCCUUACAACAAUGCCUUCUAUAUUAGUAGGCUAAAAUCGGGAUUAAAUAAUUUUGAAUUUUAUGACCACCAAUGGAUCACAUAAACCUUAGGGUUAUGUUUAUGGAAAGUAUAAGGAUUAUUGUGUUUUGUCUCUAAAUCUUUUUUACUUUUGUUAUCACUUGUAACUUUGAAAUCUAAAAUUAAAAUUUUCAGGCCUUUAGGGGGGAGAUAUUGUCUCAAUGUGUUUAUAGAAUUUGAGACUGCGAAGGUUCUAGCUGAUUGACUAAGGAUGAGGCAGGAUGGAUGGAAGGUUUGCUUGGAGAUUCUACCUUUGUCAGCUCUUCUGGUUGACAUGUUGUUUAUUCUGCCUGAGGAACUACUUCUAGAUUUUUCCCUUUUCUAGCAGAACUAGUCUCUGGAAGUACUUGUGUGUCAUCCUUAUUCUUGAGGAAGACGCAGUAUUGCCUUUGAACUCUCCUCUUUUGCAUUCUGGUUAGCUUCAGAGUUGGUCUUCGGCUUUUUCCAAUAGAAUAUCAUCUACCUUCUAUGAUAGUUGCAAAGGGCUUGUCAUUUCCAGGCAUCUUAACUGGUAUUUCCUUCUUUGGCUGCUCUAUUAUUCUCUUGUUGCGUUGGGCAGGCCUUAAAUAGUCCUUCUGUCUGGCUCUAUCUCUAGGUGGAGCCGGAACUAGGCCUUGUUGGUAUGAUGUUCCAAUCCUGUCAAAAACACAAGGUGUGGGCUGACUUUGCCUAACCAGAGUUACCUCUAACUCACUUUCACAUUUGCACCUGUUGCACAAAACUACCCCAGCCGAAAUGGUUGCUUUUGGUCUUCAAUUAGCCUAUCUUUGGACUCUUCUGCCUAUGCUGGGGCUAACUUUUGCUGUUAGUUUGCCUUUCUUUUGUUUUGGCCAAUUUAAGUUGACCAUGUUGACUUGAGGUUGGGGAAAAGGGUCUGUUGUUAUCGAAUGAGGUUUCUCAGCCAGUUUUAGCCUCCAUGCUGUUAUUCCUUCCUGUAUGACGUCCCUGAAAACAACACAACUAUUGGUGGAAUGGUCCCAGGAGUUAUGCCAUCUGCAAUACUGUCUGCCCUUGAGUUCCUCUAGCUUGGGCAACUUGUAGGGUGUUUCUAUUGCCUUCUGUCGCAGCAUGUCAUCAAACAGGGCAUCAACCUUGGUUAAAUCGAGGGAAUAGACUUUGUUAUGAGCUGGUUUGUUUGGAACAAACCCUCUUGUGAAUGGUGGUGGCUUUUGGUCCUUUGGUGGCUUUGUUAAAGCCUUGCAACUGAUGAGAUGUUUUAAUUUCCCCAUUUCUGCCACUGCAACUUCUCUCUCCUCCGAGCUUUCUAUGCCUUCUUCUGAUUCUACCUCAACAAGAUUUACUGAAGAGGAUGGGGUUUUGUAAUAUGUGCCUUUGAAAGAGUUCCUCUUCUAUUGUUCUUCCCUGAGCAGCUCCUUGUAUUUAGAUGCUUUGUCUGCUAGUUCUGCCAGAUCUCCAAACAGCAUCCCAUCAAAUUUUUUUCUCAGAGAGAUUUUAAGGGAGAUUUGAGCCAUUUGGAUGAAGUGCCCUUCCUCCAUAGGGAUUCAAAAUUUCAUUUUGAGCUUUUUGAACCUGGUUAUGAAGUCUUGGGCAGGCUCAUCUUCCCUCUAUUUCCAGGUUUGAGGGCAGCAAGAUCACUGAUGGUGACUUCUGGCUGAAUCCUAAAAUAGUAGUCAUGGAAGACAUUUUCCAUCUAUUUCCAGGUUUGAACAGAAUUGGCUGGUAAGCUAGUAUAUUAGAUGAAGGCUUGUCCAGAGAGAGAAUUUCGAAAAAGCCUUAGUUUUAACAGAAGGUUAUUUUCUAUGGCUAUGCACUGGAAAGAGAAUCUGCCUAUAUGCUUAACUGAUGAAGCAUGGGUGUCUUCUCCGUUGAACAAGGUGAAGUGUGGUACCUUAAAGCCCAGGGAUAGAGGUAUUUGAUCGAUAUAAGCUGGAUAAGGCUUUCUGUAGGUGGGCCUUUCUCCUCUUCUGGCCUCAGGUUCCAUCAUCUCUCUGAUCAUUCUAUAAAGUGCCCCCAUGUCAUUCAAAGCAUUGACAUGAUGCGGGGUUCGCCCCUGUUCUGGCUAGUUGUGUUCAAUCCUUUGUUCUACUUUAUAUGGCCUGGGCAGAACUUCCUCCCUAUGCUCUUCCUCUUUUUCGAAAUCUGGAUGAUUCCUUUAGUUUGCCCCCGGUCUGUUUUUGUCAUUGUUGGCAAAGGGUUUAACUCCUACUCUACCUCUCAUGCCACUUGCUAGUGGAGGGAAUGGAUUGGGGUCCAUCCUUCUAGGUCUGUAGGGCAACACAACUGGUUGCUCAGGCAGAAGUGCCAAGGCCUGAUCACGUGGGGCCACUAGUUGUGGAAUAGGUGGAGGUUCUGGCUAGUUCUGAGGGGGUCUGAACUGGUGCAGAGCCUUCUGGAUGAACUGAAUCCUCAUGUUCUUGGAUGGGAAGGGCUCCUCCCCUCUGUCCAGCUUGGAUUUCUCCAUGUCCUGGUAUUCCAGCUAUCUGUGUGAUGAGAGGCUUCUCUUCAUAUGGCCAUGCCAGUCCUGGUAGAGGUCCAAAAGGGAGAUCUAGCUGCUGGACCACCAUGUCUAGGUUUGGAAUUUUGGCAAUAGUAGCCUCACGGUCCUUCCUGAACUGCCUGUUGACUUGCCAUUACAUCAUGGUUGUCAUGUUGUUUAGAGUAUCUUGGCUCAUUUGUGCUGUGGCUUCUUGCCGAAACACAGCCUCCUGUAUCUAGUUUAACCUUCUGGAACCAGACAUGGAACGUCUACUCGUGGUACUGCCAUGGGCUGAUUACCUAGCAUCACUUUCUUUUGACUCAAGUCCUUUUCGGAGAGCUGCUUGAUCUCUUUUCAUGGCAUAGCGUGGAUUCUGGCUAGAACUUCCAAUAUUCAUAUACUAGAGGAUUUUUCUAGAAAUAUAUGUAUUGAGAAGUCCCACUGGGCGUGCCAAAUUGUUCAUCCGUUUUAGAUUUGUUCCUGUGAUGGUAGGGUAAAGUUCCUCAUUGACUUGAAAACCAUUGGUGGUCAAUAAGUCAACUUUCUUUUGUGUACAAAUGUGCCACUGCUAGCAAUAAAAACCCUAGCAGACUUCUUAAAAAUAGAAAACUUGUGCCCAAGUUAUUAACUUCUAAAUAAGCGAUUGUGAAUUUGGGCGAGGAAUAUCUCCCAAGUAAGUUCUUUUCUUUGCCUCAGAUUGGUGAGGACUUCACAAUUUUUCACAGUACAAAACUGGUAGUUCUAGCUAGAAUAAAUGAUAAGAAAGUGAACUGUUUUCAGGCAGAACUACCUUUUACAAAGCUUAAAAAGGAAGACCAACUCUAAAAAGACAAAAAGAGCUUUUGGACUUCAAUUUCUGCUUGGAUAAAUGCUUCUGAUCCGGGCUGGACUGGGUAUGUUUGUGCUGGACUGGACUAUCAACACCUUCAACUGUCAAGUUUUAGCUGUCAAUGAAUACCAAUGUUCGAGUGUGGCAAAGCUUCAAUCUAUUUCAAGCCGUGCAAGGCUUUUUGAACGGACAGAAUUGGAACCUCUUCAGUCUGGAAGGGGUAGAAGUGGCUGAAUUUGGUGAUUACUGAGCUGGAACUGCACUGUAGUACCUGUUCUGCUUGAUCAGGGCUCUCCAUAAAUUUGUUGAGGUUUUAAUAUUGGUAAAACCCGAAGCUUAUGUUGAACCAACUUUGUAACGAGAGAAAUCUUGCUUUGAAUGACUAUUUCUCUGAAACUAAACAGAAGUUAGAGAUUCUGGAAUAUAGCUGACUUGUUUCUUAUGGCUCAAUGAGCUUUUGGUUGCUUCAGUGUUUUGAAGGCUUUUGAGAUCAAGUGAUCAUUUUGAGUUUUUAUUUUUGAUUGAUUUUUUGGCUGUCCUUUUAUCUGUUCACCUCAUCUCAUAUUUAUAGAAUAUACUGGAGUGUGAUUUCUAAUCUUUUAAUAAUGGGCGGCAAAUCUUUUAAAAGAUCUUUUUUUCUUUUUUCAAUGUCAUAAGAGAAGGAAGCUACUAUUCUGACAGAGAAAGGUUGUCAACAAUCAUCUUUCAAUUUUUCUAUGUUCACUUUUUGUUCUUUGUAAAGAGAAAGAACACAAUCUACCAUGAUGGUCAGUGUGCUUUUCCUGUUGAACAACUCCCUCGUUCUCUACUUAUCUCUUGAAAACGUAGUCUGCUUAUCUCUUGGAAAGACCACCUGAUUUGGUGCAGAGCUUCUCUAUAUAUAUAUAUAUAUAAAGGGAUUUUGAUCUUCUUCUUUUGGCUGAAAAAAUAGAGAAGUCUUUCUGUAAGACCUGCCUUCAUUAAUUUUCUAUCAACUUCUCUGUAAUAGUUGAAAAUUUUGACUUUUCAAAGCCAGGUAUUCACGUGGGGUUGUUUAGAAAAGAUCUGUUGAUUUUGUCAAUCUUUUAGGGUAGAGAUUAAAUAGCGUAAAAAGGCUGGGCUAGUCUCUUUUUCUUAGUAGAUAAAAAGCCCAAAUAUUUUGUCUCACUGCCCUUUUCUGGAAAAUAAAUGGGCUGGGUGUGUUGGAAAUUGGCCCAAUCUUAAGAAAGACUCUGGUGGCUGCCCAAAAUUGACAUAGGCUUUUCUUGAUUUUGGGCUGGGCAUGCCAAAUUAGGCCCAAACAAUGCCCCUUAAGUCUGAAUUGUUUUUGGAAUAGUUUCAGACUUAAUGAUUUGGCCAUUAAUUUGUGCGCGCCAUUUCCUUCUGUUAGCCCACAUCUGCCACGUCUGCCUAUUAUGAUCAAGACUUCGUGGGAAAGUGGGCAGUUACUAGCUAGUUAUUAUCAGGUGGCGUCUUGUCUUCUUCUUCCCACGAUUUCGAGUCUUUCUAAGAAAUUUAAAAAGACCUCAGCUCCUGUUUACUCAAAACCUAACUUCUUCAGACCUUGAUUUUCCUCAGUUUUCUCAGAAUUUUUACCCUUUUCUGCGAUCAAACCCUGCUUCCUUUCAGUUUGAUUCCCCUAUCCUAGCUCAAAACCCGAAAAUGUCUUCUCCAAAAAAUCGUGCCCAGACUUCUUCUUAUUCUGUUCCUCCUACCUACAUUACUGGGGCCGGUGUUGAUAAGCAUGUGAUUGAAGUCCGGAGCAAGCUUCAUCCUUUUGCCCAGAACGUUCUGGACAAGAACGUGUUACAUUUGUUCGAGAACACUCUUGUUUUGGAGCCUCAUCGGUUUGGUUCUGUCCCGACUGAAAUGGCAGAAUUGUUUAAAGAAUAUACUGAAGCUCCUCUAUGCUUUCAGAGCUCUUUCGUAGAUUUCAGUUUUAUAUAUAAACUAUCGUGUUUCUCCCUAUAACAUGUCGUUUUUAAGAAUUGUUGUCAAUGUUUUAUUUCCUGCUACUAUAAGACGGCGAUUAUUUAUACAUAUGAGACGUGUAAAUUAGAAUGAGACGUCAGUCUUUGGGAUUUAAAUUAAGUUUUUACGAUUUAAUGUCAUUUUAGUUCAUAUAAGGACAUAAAUGUCCUAACCAAAAAUAUAUUUAUGUACAUUGUCAAUAAAUUAAAAUAAACCUAAACAUUGUUAAAAUAAAUUAGAUCACUUAUUAUUCUGUAAUUACUUGUUAACGAAUUCAGCCCAUUCCAACCUGACUUCGUCAAUAUGUUCUUAUACAUACUGAACUGGUUCCUUUUUCUUAUCAAACUGCAAAUAAAUAACAAAAACCAACGUGUUAUAAAGAUUACAACGACUGCUUUUAAAGAAAAAGUUGUGGUACUAAAAUAAAGAAUUUAUAUCUUAAGUUUUGCCUUUUACCUUCUUCUCAAAUGCUAGGCCUGGAUCAUGAAUUAUAUCUCUCAUGAAAUGCAUCACGUAAUAGCCACACUCUACAUUUGUUGGUUGUCGAGGAGUGCCAUGUAGAUUUUUCCAUAUGACUGAUUUACAUGAUGAUUAAUUGCCUGUGUGAGAGUUAUACAUUUUGAUUGAACUGUUUCAAGAAAAUGAAAAGUGUUAAUGAUAAAAAUAAAAAUCUAAAGCAAAAAUAUUAAACGUCGUGGUAAAUAAGUGAAGACGAUGGUUUUGUUAAAAAAGUGAUGUUGUAUUUCAUUUCAAACGUUGGUAAAUAAAAACCGUCGUUGUGUAGAAUUCUAACGUCGGUGACGAUGAAAAAUGACGUAUAACCAAAAAUUGUUUGUAAAUGAAAGUUGAACAGAAAAAAAUAAAACUUCCUUAAAUGAAAAACACAAACGACGUGGUAUUUCAAUUAAAAUGACGGUUUACAGAAAAUACUGACGUUGUAAAUGAUUUCAAACAUCGGUUUGAAGUUACCAUCGUGUUUUCAUUGUAACGUCGGUAUUAGAAAAAGCCGUAUAUCAUUCAAAUGCAAAUAAAAAAAUGUUAGAUUUUCAUAGAUAAACUUACAUAUUCACUAUAUUUCUCAUGUCCUCGUCAACAACGCGGUUUGGCAAUGAAUCCAUGUAAUAGAUAGUCUCCUUCGCUGGUCUCACAAUUAUUAACACCCAAUGACCCCUACACAUAAUGAUCCAUAUAGGUUAAAUAUACUAGAAAGAAAAAUAGGCAUCAAGUAUAGUUAAGGGGACUAACCUUGGAUUACAAGGCACCAUGUAAAAUUGAUCCCCAUUUGCGUUUUUCAGGCGGUCUGAGAGAUGUUUCAAACGGUAAGAUAACGUUCCAGAUUGAGAGCUGACUUGUCCAAGGUCCACGAAGCCAAUAAGGUUUACCAUAUUUUCUAUUUUUAAAUAGUCAAAUAGGCACCUAAAUAUAUGAAAUUCAAUUAAAUGAGAUUUUAACUUUAAAGAAAGGAAAUGUAUAAUGCAAUCACUGUGGAUCCAAUCUCAACCAUGGAAGGAAAUUGUAAAAUAUCUUCACACAAGAGGAAGGUAUCAUGGUUAAUGCCAAAGGCUUCCUCUGGAAUGUGAAUUCUAAUGGUCUCGUUAAUGGGCUUCAACUUGGUCUCGACAAAUUGAAAUAAGGCUAACAGAGGAGGUGGCAUGUCUAGCUUUGAGAGAUCCUGUUACAACAAAUAAAUAAAGAAAUAUAAGUUAGUUUGUACACUAAGUAAAAUAAACGACUCUAACUAAACCAAUCAAACCGACGUGGUAUAUAAUAUAAUCGACAGUUUCUAGAACAUACUGAAGGAGUAAAGGUUAUAGACGACGGUAAAGACAUAACCAUCGUUAUGUAAAUGUUCUAACGUCGCUGCAUUAUGGAAAGGUCGUCUAAUUAAAAUGCAGUGAAGCCUUUAUUGAAAUACACGACAGUUUAUAAAAUAAACACCGACGUAGUAAAAUACUGAGACGACGGUUAUCAGCAACGUCUAUUUGAAAUUAUAAAUCAGAAAAAAUCAAAUAUCAAAGAUUUUACCGUUUCAUCUUGCCAUUGUUUAGCAACAUCAGCAUCAUUCGUGGGAUUUUCUUCCUCCAAAACAAGGGGUCUCACAUUAGAGCAGCUUGCUUUGUCAGACAUUAGAUUUUUUGGAGUAAUUGGAGUUUUAUUGAGCAAGUUGGGAUCACAGUUGGGAAUUAGUUGACUGAAUUGUUUCAAUAAAAUUUCCCUCUCUGCUCUGACUGCCUCCAAAACAGUUUCUUUUGCCUUAGCUUUAAUCUUUUUGGUUUCUUCUCUCACUGCCUCCAUAACACUUUCCUUCAAUUUGUUAGCAAAUUUUACUCUCUGCUGUCUCGACAAAUUGAAGAAUUGAGUUGGGGAAACCCCAGCUCCAACACCUCUAACUCUCCCACCAUGCUCAGGGGUUCCCAAAGCCAAGGUCAAAAUAUCGUUGCUCUCAGAGACAGCAGAGUGCCCUCGGAAACUUGUUUUUUCAAAUCAUCCUAAAAGUGAGAGAGAGAGAGAGAGAAUGUUAGUGAGUGAACAGAUAGUAAAACAGAUUAAAUAAACAACUAUACAAAAAUAUUAACCGACGUGGUAAAGACUUUAAAAAACUGAAAUCAAUCCCCAAUAGUAACAGGGACCAUGCAGCAACGAUUUGGUUGACAGUAGUAUAGGUUGGAGAUGCUGUUGAUCAUUAGAUACUAUUUUUUUAAAUAUCAAUUCUGUAACAUCCAGACCUAAAAAAUUAAUGAUUUUGAUUUAAAAUUAAAUUUAAAUAAGCAAUUACGAAUUUACCCUUGGGGAAGGGGUAUUUUGGUAUUUUUUUUUUAUUCAGAAAGAGUUUGGGGCAGUGACUAGUAUUUUUGGGUAGAUCGUACUGAGACGAAUCCGUAGACACGCGGUAGGCCUGAAUCGGAGUUGUAACGAAGAAACGGUGACCAAAAUUAGUCCAGUGGCAAACUUGUAAAUAUUUUGAACUUGGGUGUAGAAAAAUCUGAAACUGGCUUCCUCUCUCCUGCGUGCACACGUCCUUCUCUCUCUCUCCUCUCUCUCUCCUCGAUACCAUCACUCUCUGUCUCUCUCUUCGAUUCUCUCAAUUCUGGCCACGGCAAGGGCCGGGACUGGUUCCGAUCAACUCCUCACAAAGCCCCGAACCAGAACCACCACUUUUCUUGGCCGGAAAGCUCGAGUUUCGCGUGGUAAUCUCGACUGGUUUGAACCAGUUUUCCUCCGUCAUUGUGCCGCCGCCAUCGCAGCCCAAUCUCGGUUAAACAAGUGAGGUUUCUUACUCUUUUUCCGAGCUCUAGCUGCCUGUUGGGUAGGAUUGGAUUGAUUUUUUGUCUAGGAUCCCGAUUUUGAAACCUAAGUUUUGACGAAUUUCAAAGUGAAAUUCCGGCCGGUUGCCGUCCUAAUUAGACCUCCCCGUAGUUGAAUAAAGUGAUCCUCGCUUCGAGUAGUAGCUAAGGUAGGAAUGGUGAAUUGCGGUGUGGAGUUUUUCCAUCACUGAAAAUUACUCUACACAUCCACGCGUUGCCAGGGCAUGUGGAGGCGCAUGGGCAAUGUGGUGAGACCACAUUUUAUCCUGAUGUAGUCUCCUAGUCCUCACGUGCGCGUAAGUGUGCUCGAAUUUCAAUUCGAAUGUUGUUUGACUAUCGAACGGAUUUAUGCAUAUUGUUUCUUAUCCGGGUUCAAUAUGUUCGGACCAUUGGAUCGAGUCCAAAUUUACGUAUGUUAAUCUAGGCACCCCUAGGAUCAUGUGCGAAUUCGCGGAUCGUGAAUCGGAGCCCCGAAUGUUCCGAUUCAAUAAUUUGAAGUUUAUGGUUUGCGAUAACCGUCAAUUUCUGACCAAACCUACAGGACGUGUUUCCUAAACCCGUAGUCGGACCUUAGAAUACUCGUUAUGCGUGCACGCACCGGGAACUUGAGAAAAUUAGUAUUUAAUUUGUAAAUUCCGUUUUGAAGUGAUUUUUUAUUAAUUAAGGGUGCGUAUCUCGAAAUAGGUGCUCCAUCACUAGCACGCAGCAGGUAGGACCCUCUUGAGGUCAGGCAGUGUGGGACUACUUGUGAGUGGACAUUUAUUUUAUAUAUGCAUUAUUUUCAAUGAUUGAAAGAAUAUGCAUGAAAUAUAUAUAUUUUUUGGAAUAAAGAUUGAGAAAUUCAUAUGUUGUUAUAUCAGUAUUAUUUAAUUUAGAAUUUGGUUUGAUUUGAUGAUGAGUUAUAUAAAGGUCAAGUUAUUCGUGAUUAAGUCUUGGAUGAAUUUUGGGGGAAUCGGGAAUUGAAUAUUAUGGUUUAUGGUGGGAACUUAUAUGAUUACACUGUGUGGAGUACCAUCCCCUAGUUACUAGGCUUCCCACAUGUGGCGUUGGAAAUUUUCCAGCGUGUGAUGAUGUAGUCUGCACGCAUAGGACUUAGUAUUGGAGCUACACGUGGCGUUGGAAUUUCCGGCAUGUAAGCUAUGGAGUUUCGUCCCCCGGUUGGACCGCUCAUCCCUAGACGCAGGAUAGCAACUGAAAAUCUUGCGGGUUAGCCAAACAAUCCCCCGGUUGGAUUGUUUCCCCGGUACCUAAGUAGUGUGAUAAAUAUUAUGUAUAUUUAUAGAUAUAUAUAUUUCUAUGUGUGUGUGUGUGUGUGUGUGUGUGUGUGUGUGAGUAUAAAUCAGUUAAAGUAUAUGUAGUGGUUGGGUAAGAGCAGUAUAAAUUUUGGGGAUAAAGUUUAUGGAUAGAGUGAUUGAUCUCAAAGGGUUUCGGAGAAUGAUGUUUUUGAUCAUUAAAUAAAAGUUAUGAAUCUGCAUGUCUUGAGCAUUAUUUUUAGACGGUGGGGUUAUUAUGUUGUUUUGAAUGCAAAUUUUGUUUUUCCACUCACAUGUUUUCUGUUUUGCGCCCCCCAAACAGUAGUCGCUCAAGGGAGAGUUGCAAGCCAUGUUCGAGGCCCCGAACUGUGAACAUCAGUAGAUUAGGUUUCGAGUAAUUUCUUUCUACUCAACUGGAUGUUCUUGUAAACUAAAUUCGUUAGAUGCUCUAUUAUUGCCCCUGUUAGGUUUUACUUGUGAGGCCAGAGGCCAUUUAGUUUAUACUGUUGAAUAAUAAAUGCAUGCUGCUGGUUGGGAUUAUAUUGUGCUUAUGCAGGUUGAAAUUUUUGGGAUUGUUCAAUUUACAUGGGAGACUCUAGCAAAAUUUUAGUAGAGAGUCUCGGUUUUUAAUAAGUGGGCCAGGCAUCGGGGUAAUGUCGGAAAUAAGACUGGAUUCGUCCCGGUUUCCGAAGAAUUCGAGGCGGGUCCUGUCAAGUUCCUCCUAUUAACAAUAAUAAAUUAAAUAUUUAUAUAACUGAUAACAGUUCCUCAUAUUAACAAUAAUAAAUUAGUAUUUUGUAUAAUAAACAUGUUUAAUGAAAUUCAUCUUCUUCUAGCAUGUUUAUUUAAAUUCUAAGUUUUCUGAAGAAAAAAAAAAAAAAAAAGGAGAAGGAAAUGUCCUAAAUUAAAUCUUAAAAGUUCAUUUUUUUCUGUCCCUAUAUAUUUUUUACCCAAUUAUAAUUUGAGAAAAAAAGGUGAAUUAACUGUCAUUUCACCUUCAUCAUUUUCAUGAUUUAUAUAAGAUUCUUCAAAGAUCAUUUCCACAAAAAAUUACUUAAAUUCGAAUCCAUUUAACCGUCUAAUUAAAUCGUUAGGACCGUUGAAAUAAAAUUUAAAGUGAGUUUAAAGUGAGUCCUACUAUGUCUCCCUCAAAUAAGAUCAUUUACAGGAUCUGUCGAGUCAUAUGAGAAUGUUUAGCUUUUCGAUCCCAAGAGUUUGGUUCGAUUUUCAUAUAUAUAUAUAUAUAUAUAUAUAUAUAUACAAGUCAAUUUACUUUAAAAAGUUCACCAAAUUUUAUUUUUGGUCUCGGUAGUUUGCUUGAGGGCCUUUUUCUGUCAAUCUAUUUGUUGUGAUUGAAAGAUUUUAUAUAAAACAAAAGAUAUGUUUUUAUCUUAAAAAAUGCUUAUUUUCAGAUCUUUACAUAUAGACAUACAUAUGGCCUGAGAAUUCAAGCAAUAAAGACAUAAGCUGAUGAGCAUUCAUAAUCAUUAGAAUGAGUACUGAAUGGUCAACUCUUUCAAAAUACUUCGGAAAAAAACAAAGGACAAUACUUCCUUCCUUACUCAUAAGAAGGAACUCCUUCUCACCUUCUAUUGUCCCUCAACCACAAAGUAACAAGUGUUCUCUUUUUUUAAUUGUCAAUUUUUUUUUUUUCACUUUUACUGAACCCCUAGCUUUUUACCAAAGCAAAAAACACAAAACAAUAUUCCCAUUGUUUUUUUUUUUCAUUUUGAUUUUUUUCUCAACUUUUUGAAAAAUAACAUUUUUCCUUCUUCAGUAAAAAAUUGAAGUCUUUGUGGUUAAAAGCUAAGGUUUCAGUAAAGGUUUAAAAUAAAUAAAAAGUUUUGACAAUUCAAAAAACAGAACACAUAUCACUUUGUGGUUGAGCCGCAAUAGAAAGUAAGAAAGAAUUCCACCUUACCCAUAAGGAGGGAAGUAUUGUCAAAAAGAAAACAUCUUAAAAAACACACAGAAAACCCACCAUCACUACUUAAAAGAAGUAGAGAAGUCCAACAUUCUGAUUUUUAUACACCUACGUGACGUGAGCAUUCAAUAAUCAUCCUACACAUAUGUUGAUGUGAGCAUUCAAAAUCAUUAGAAUGAUUUAAUUGAAGACUCAACGUACGGACGUCUUUUUCACUUAGAUUCCCUUCCUGUACAAACUUGAAUCAGUUCCUCCACGACCCCAUCAAUCUCUUCAUCCUCUUUCUUGUUCACGUUGUCGCUUAUUUUCAAUGCCUUUUUUCUCACUCCCUCUCCAAAUUUCUCCACAACCACAUCUCUAAUCACCUUUGCGACCUCUUCUCUUUGCAAACUUCCUUCACCUGUUCUCUUAACCUCCACACCAACACCCACCUCCUCCACUAGUCUAGCGUUGAUCGGCUGGUCAAGAUGCAUAGGCAUGGCUAUAAUUGGAACACCAAACUUGAUGCUCUCCAACACUGAGUUCCAUCCGCAGUGACUCACAAACCCCCCAACACUAGAAUGCUGCAGUAUCUUUGCCUGUGGGGCCCAACCCUCCAUUAUCACUCCCUUCUCUCCCACCCUCUGUAAAAACCCUUCUGGUAACACCUCUUCAACCCUAGUACUUCUCUCCUCCUUAGAAAAUCUUAUAACCCAAAUGAAGCUCACUUUGCUAAGCUCUAAUCCGUGAGCUAUCUCUUCUAUUUGCUCCUUGGACAGAAAGUACUCACUGCCAAAGCAAACAUACACAACAGAAGACCUUUCCAUUUUGUUCAGCCAUUUCAUGAUCCAUGUUUCCUCAUCAACUUUUUGAUCCAUUGGCUCUUGAACAAGCGUGCCAACAGGCACGAUCUUCUUCCCCGUUAAAUCAGAGAGAUAAUCAAUAUAUUUUUCUUCAAUCUCGCUGGAUGUCUUGACCAAAAUGAUGUUACAAGAUCGAGCACUGCAUUGCUGAACACGGUCUCCGUCUUUGAUGCCAUUUGCUGAAGAUUCCAACAAAUUGUUGAACUUUUCAGCUUCGUAAUGUUGAAGAUAAAUCGAAGGAAAAGGAAACUUGACACUAGGGUUCUUGAGAUGUUGAAUACUAAAUGAAGUAAAGGCAGCACCCAUGGUGGUGAAUUCAAUGGAUGGAAAAUUUUGCAAUGAAGCUAGAGAGGGCGCCCAUGGUUGAAGAACAUCAUAUAUGAGCAAAUCUGGACUUAGGGUUUUGAGGAUGUUGGAGAAGUUGUUGCUGGACAUGCUGAAAGCCGUUUUGAGAGUGGACAUGAGAUGGGGAGGGAGGCCAUUGGUGGUGUGGUAGUGCGGUGGGAGUUCAGGCAAGUCAUCAUGUGGAAGAUGGAGUUCCACAAAUUCAAUGCAAUGAGAAUAUUUUUGGGAGAGUUUAGGCUUGAUGGAGCUGAGAUUUACAGGCGUGGAACAAAUAAAGAUGUGAAAAUUUCUCUUGGUGGUCAGCUUCUUGGCUAGCUCUAGGUAGGGAGAUAUAUGGCCGUGAGCUAGCCAUGGAAGCAAAAGAAUAGUAAGGCUUCUUUGGUCAGAGAAAACCAUAUUUUGUUUUCCUUUGACUUGUUUUCCUUUGACUCUUUUGCUUGAGGUUGCUCGAUUAUAGGCUUAUUGGUAGUUUGUUUGUGGCUAGCUCUAUGCAUAUAUAUAUAUAUAUAUAUAUAUAUAUAUAUAUAUAUAUACACACACAAAAACGCGUGAUGAUUGGAACAUGCACACGUAAGUUCCAGAGAGUGAUGAUUGGCCUAUGAUAAAGACUCGAAACAAGAAUAGUUUAAAUUUUCUUCUUUGUUUGGCUUGAUAUAAGACGAAUGCACCAAACAAACCGACUAAAUGCCGACACAAUAAUUAGGUACGUAAUAAUAUCAACUUUCAUUAUAUAGAUCUGAGAAACAAAAAGUUGAACUUUGAUGACAAGCGAUAUUAAGGAAGGGCACAAUCGAACUUAGGAUCUCGAAUGUUGAAGUACAUGCUCUUAACAACUUGAGCUAUAAGGUAUUUGUAAUGACAAUUUAUGGUUUUAAUUAUACUUUUGAAUAGUUGCUUCCUUCUCUUUCAUUUUUAUUUUUAUUUGUUUAUAUUUAACUCUAAUUUUAUUUAUAUUUCUGGUCAAGGUAUAAAGACUUUGAAUCUCUCUCCAAUUAUUUUUCACAGCCGAAACUCCUUUAGUUUCCACAAAUCUUUUUAAACAUUUCAGGCAUAUGUAUGUUUCCGAGUCGGAUGGUUCACGUAACCAAGAAAUUUAAACUUGUUUUUGUUUGUUCCUCCGAAGAAAGCACAACAAAAGGACAACCUACAACCAAUACUUCUCAUUGAAUUUGUUGCCGUGAAUGAUUAGGACUCUGCCCAAACUAGUAGUUGCGUUUCUGAAUUGUUUGAAAACACAUAUCAAAUUAUGAUUUCUCCUCCCCGAAAGAAAAAUUGACGUAGAAGUAUCAUGAUCUUGAUGACACAAAUUAGAAUCUAGGGUUUUCGAAGUGCCUAAUGGACAACUACUUAUUUAGAAAUAUAUAUAUUUUUGUGGCUAAAAUUUAAAUUUAUUAUAUAUAUUCUCAAUGCAGAAACACAUAAAUCUAAGUUCGAAUUCAUCCUUUUUUUGUUUUUUUUUUUUUGUUUUUUUAACCCAGAAGAAAAAUUGAGUCCCACUCUGCUGUGUAGAAUGCGCGUUUAGUAUAGAUUUUUUUAUUUUUGAGUCUCUUAUCUGGUUCCCGAGCUUCUACAUUUAGGUCUCGUGUAUUUAUCUGCAUUUUCUUAAAUCUAAAUCACUCAAACAAUCUAACCACUUAACAAAUGACACGUACUCAAACUUAAAAUCAGAAUGGAUGGAGUAGAGGCUUACACCGAUGAUUCUUGGUCAAGACUUGAGAGACAGAUGGAGACGAGGCAUGACAUAAAGUCUGAAGAAGAGAAACGAGGAAGCUUCAUUUAGAUGGUGGUGUAAGUGCAUACGUAAAGUCCAGAUUCAACAGGAAAGCAUCUUAAACGUAAAGAAAAUAAGUUUACCAGAAGCAAAAGAGAUACUGAAGUAAUUGUUUAUCAACUGAACUUAAACGAAAUAUUAACUCUUUGUUGUGCCAUAAGCACAAGAUCUUAUGAAAAAAAAUUCAAGAUAAACCAUAUAAUAUUGGGAGAUUCACGUUUAUACCGAAUAUAGGAAUUCAAAUUAUAAAAUAAAUAAAUAAAUAAAAUAAUCGAUAUGAAAUGGACUUUAGAAACACACACAAAGCCUAUUUACAACAUAACAAAAAGGUUUUUCCCUUCUUUUAAAUUACAAAACUGCCAUUGAUUUCUUAAAACAAACCCAACUCCAAAACCUCAUUAAAAAAGCACAAAACACUCAAUAGGGUGUCAAAGUAAUUUAAUAAUAAAAAAUAAAUUCAAUAAGGCCAAUUGAAUUUUUUGGAUUUUUUUUUGGGUUUGUUUAUAGAAAUUAAUGGUGUAGGGUUUAUCUAUAUUAUUGGUGUUAAGAAUGAAUAAUGACUAAAUAUCUCUAUAAUAUUUUCUAACUCACAAAAUAAUAUAGAAAAUAAAUGCAAGAACAAGAAAAUAGCAAUAUGCAAUUUAACGAAGCUGCUUACAAUCAGUGCAAAUGAGCAAACAAAUUCGCUAUUAAUUUAUGAAGUGUUUUUGUAUUUACAAUACCGCCUCUUGAAUGUCCACCAUACAAUAAUAUAGUUGCAUCAUUAAAAACUUUACUUGAAAAAUCGUUUGGGACAAAACUUAAGCUAAGAGAAAAAGAGUGCAACACAAAUGAUAUUGACAUCACAUAUGUCUCUCCUACAGAGUGAGCUUUGGUGAUGCUUGUAUAAAAAUUGCUUUCACAUCAUUAUUGGGAGAUGUAUGUAUGUCAUCAAUCAUUUGAAUCUUGUUGAGGUUAAAGUAAAACCAAAAAAAUAUCAAGGGCCAUUUUCAUAUAGUUUUUCACAAUAAAAAUUAACAAAAUAACUUCAUGUUCUUUAAUAUCAUCAAAAAAAUAAUAUAAACAAACUCAUAGUUUACCUUUUCAAUGAUAAGUGUUUGGAAAAUUUACAUGGAAUAAUAUUUGGUAUGCUAUGCUAGCAUCUCAUAAGCUCUUCAAGAGACCUAAAUUUUAUGAUAACUUCUUAAAAAAAUUUGAAUACUUUUCAACAAUAUUAAACUUGAAUUCAAACUCAUAAUUCAAUCAAAGUACUCAUUGAGGCAAUUUAGAUCAUUUUCAUUUUAAGAAAAUUGGGUGCAUACAUUGAGCUUCAUGCCCUUUACCUUCUUAGAGAUUUUCUUCGAGCAAUUUAUAUUGCAUGACAGAUUAUAUCUCUUAGAAUUUGUUCUUAUGUAUUCUUCAAGAGAUCUCUUCUUGCAAUAUGCUUCAAACACUUCAUAAUCUUUAUAGAUUUUUCAUGUAGAUUUAAGGUCUCCAUGAAUAUUGAGAUUGAAACAAGGAGUAAAAUAAAAGUUUAAGAAAAAUUUUCCCUGAUUAUUUUGUAAUUAUAAUGUUGGUGAAAACCUAAUUUCCUUUCUGAAAUUUGUGAAAUUUGUUAUUUGGCUAAGCUAAAAGUAUAAUAUUGACAAUAAAACGUAUACGAAAGUUUCUCUUUGGCUGGCUUCUUGGCUGGCUCUAGGAAGGGACAUUGCGGCCAUGAGAUAACCAUAGGAAGCAUAAUAAGAAUGCUUGGAUGCUCUGAACAAUCCAUUUUCUGACUCUUUUUCUUGAGGCGGUUGUUUUCUUAGGCCCAUCAGAGUUUAUGGUCGACAGAUAAGCUUCAAACACAUGCAUUGGUCGUGUCAGUUGCGAUAAACUCUUCCCAACAAUCUGAGACUCACAUCACUCCAAACACAUAAAAAGAAGUGGAAAUUUGCUAUUCUUUGUCUUUGUUUGGACAGCUAAUAGCAAAGCAUUGGAAACAUCGAAAAAAGAAAGUUAAUUAAUUUAAGAAAAACAAAGAAAUCCUUCUUUUUUUUUCUUUUUUUUUUCAGCAAACCGAAACAUAAAAUCCGAAAAAGAAGAAGGCAUGUCCAAAAUUACAUCUUGAAUUUAUUUUGGAGAUUCACUAUUAUACUCAAAUUAUAUAUGAAAUAAAUUUUAGAAACACACAUGACGCCAAUUUACAAUAUAACAAAAAAACUUUUAACUUCUUGUAAAUUACAAAAUUGUUAUCGAUUUCUUAAAACAAGCCUAAUCCUAAAACCUCAUAAAAAAAAAAUCAAAACACUCAAUAAGGCAUCAAAGUAAUUUAAUAAUUAAAAUUAAAUUUAAUAGGGUCAUCUGUCAUUUUUUGGAUUUUUUUCGAAGUUGUUUAUAAAAAUUAAAAUAAUGUAUAGUUUGUUUAUAAAAAUUAAAUGAUGUAGAGUUUCUUUAUAUAAUUAAUGUUAAUAAUGAGUAUAUGAAUAAAUGUCACUUUUCUUUAUUAACCAUUUAUAAUAUAUGAACUCAAGACUUCCUAUCGAACACCGAAUGGUCUUUCCAUUCCUUGUUAAUUCAAAGUCUGAAAAUGUUCGGUGUCAGCUCAUGAAUUUAAAGGCUUAAAGGCUCAAAACUUGAACGAAUAUGAAAGAAAAAAGUCGUUCACCGUUCAUCCUCUUCCUGCAGCUGUGCAUGCUAAUCACCCACUGAAUUAAACAUACAAAUACGCUUUAUGUUUUCUCAAAUUGUUCUUUGAACUAAGUAGAGGUUGGAAUACACUCGGGGUCAACAUUGUUCAAAUACAAAACACUUCUUAAUUUUAUAUUUUAUCAAAACAGAUCGAAACUUCAUUCAAACUGAGAACCUAGAUUACAAAACUACCAGAAAAACUGGAAUCUGCACUGUGGCCUCAUUAAAACCUUGCUUUAAAAAACUCCUAAAAGAGGAGAAUUCAGUCAAGAAAAAAGAGUACCACAGCAAGUGAAAUCCGAUAUCAUACUUCAUUCCUUUCUCAUACAAAGUUGAAUCAACUGCUCUACCACCCCAUCUAUCUCUUCAUCCUCUCUCUUUUUCAUGUUGUCUCUCAAUUCCAUUGCCUUUCUUUUCAAACCCUGUCCAUUUUCUUCCACCACCACAUCUCUGAUUACUUUUGCUAUCUCGUCCCUUUUCAGCCUCCCGUUCUCGUUGCCGCCUCCUCCCAUUCUCUUAACCUCCACACCAACUCCAACGUCCUCUACUAUUCUAGCGUUAAUAGGCUGGUCAAGAUGCAUAGGCAUGGCUACAAUUGGAACGCCAAACUUGAUGCUCUCCAACACUGAGCUCCAUCCACAGUGGCUCACAAACCCACCAGCACUAGAAUGCUUCAAUACUUUUGCCUGUGGAGCCCAACCAUCCACUAUUAUUCCCUUCUCCCCCACCCUCUCAAAAAACCCUUCUGGUAAUACCUCUUCAACCCUAGUACCUUUCUCUUCCUUAGGAAAUCUUAUAACCCAAAUAAAACUCACUUUGCUAAUCUCUAGCCCAUGAGCUAUCUCUUCUAUUUCCUCCUUGGAUAAAAAGUACUCACUGCCGAAGGAAACAUACACCACCGAAGAUCUUUCUCUAGUGUUUAGCCACUUCAUGAUUUUUGUUUCCUCCGAAUCCACUUCUUGCUCUAUAAGGUCUUGAACAAGUGAACCAACAGGCACAAUCUUCUUCCCAAUUAGAUCAGAGAGAUAAUCAAUAUAUUUUGCUUCAAUCUCUCUAGAACUCUUAACUAAUACGAUCUUACAAGAACGAUCGCUGCACUGCUUAGCACGGUCUCCAUCACUGAUGCCAUUUGAUGAAGAUUCUAACAACAUCUUGAUCUUACUAGUCUCGUAAUAGAUUGAAGGAAACGGAAAUUUGACACCAGGUUUCUCGCCAUGGUGGGUACAAACUGACAUCAUGGCAGCACUGGUUGUGAAGAACUCGAUGGCUGGAAUGUUUUGUAACAAAGCUAGAGAGGGUGCCCAUGGUUGAAGAAAAUCAUAAAUUAGCAAAUCCGGGUGUAGGGUUUUGAGGAUGUUGGAGAAGUUAGGGCUUGCCCUGUCGAAGGCGGUUUUGAGAGUGGACAUGAGGUGGGGUGGGAGGCCAUUGGUAGUGUGGUAAUGAGGUGGGAGUUCAGGCAAGUCGUCAUAUGGAAGAUGUAGUUGCACGAGUUCAAUGCAACGAGAGUAUUUUUCAGAGAGUUGUGGCUUGAUGGAUCUGAGAUUUACAGGUGUGGAACAAAAAUAGAUGUGAAAAUUUCUGUUGGUCAGCUUCUUUGCUAGCUCUAGGUAGGGAGAUAUGU